GCAGGGGGGGGUUAGAGGCUAGUUUUGCCUCUACAUUAAGUGCCAAGGUGUACAGUAGGGUCUGGGGUUAGAGAAUGUGCAUUGGUGCAGGGUCCAUGUCCGCAAAUGUUCUAUAUUGCUGUCAUUCACAGAAUCAUUUCAACCUGGACGAUGACCACCACGUAGUCAUCCAACAAUAUAGAAAUCAGAAUAGUGGGGCUUACUUAUUUCAACCUGUUCAGAACACAAAACACAGAUUACCAGAAGAGAGAAACAAUAGACAGUCACACAGUCCUGGACAAAGAGAGGAGGCAUAUUGUGAGCUUUUACAGUAGAGCUGCAUUGAGCAGGUGAUACUGGAACUAUCCUGAGGGGUGUACCGUAGGUGUGGUGGAUAGAUUAUGCUUUACAUAGGGAGAGACUGUUCCAGACUGGCAAGAACCCUAGAGAUGCAGAGAGAGAGCUGGAGGGAGGGAGAGAGAGAGGGGUGGUGGGGUGCAGAACACACCCAGAGCCAGCGAACAGAAUGUUUCAUAACCAGGGGUGACUGGUGUGUCUGUGUUCCAGAGUGUAGAAGAAUAGAAUAGAGAAAGACCAGGAGCUGAGAGAACACCCCCUGGUGUUGGUAGUGUUGAUGUCACUAUAGGAGGAGCUCUCUGGACAGGAGCUCUCUGUCCACUCACACCCAGUCCAACCCUGGUCUUCUCCUCUUCCUUUCCUCCUCUACUCCUCUGGGAUUGACCUGACCCCUAUUCCUCUCAUCUCCCAUUUCUAUCAUUUCUUCCUCCUGUCCUCCGUGUGGAGCAGUGCCACAGAGCCAUGCACCCCCAGCGUCCUCUCCCCCAGGCCAUGCCCUCCUCCCUCAGGCAGAACCUGCGUGACAUGGCCAUGGGCCUAGGCAGAGGGAAGAACUUCCUUGGUGGGAACAUUGCCUACGGCUUCAUCCAGUCCCUCAAGGAGUGCCUCUACUUCGUACUCUGCUGCUGGUGCAUCAAGGAGAUACUGGACUGACUGAGACACUACGAGAGGGAGAGAGGCACGAGGCUGGGGAGAGAAAAACAGUGUGAAGCGGUUGCCCAUGAUGCAGUUCUGUAUUCCUGUCUGGAGGCUUGGGAAACUGAUGUGCUACCUGGUGUAUCAGAGGAUCUCUGUUAUUCUCUGAUACUGAGUCAGUCGGUCUGGAGACCUGCAGUGUGUGUGUGAAGCGUCGUCUUAACACCAAUCAGCUGAUCCUAGACCUGUGGAGAAACCAAACCUGUGAAGCAAUGGACAUGGCUUUUGAUGCUGCUUAGGUCACAUUUAAUUCCAAGUUUUAUUAAUUUCUGUACAGUCUUAAUAUGCAAGGAAUAAACUAUCUGAUUUUG